rnacentral:tRNA from 1 species
GCCGAAGUGGCGGAAUGGCAGACGCGCUGGAUUCAAAAUCCAGUUCAGGCAACUGAGUGUGGGUUCGAGUCCCACCUUCGGCAC